CCCAUGGGCAGCACCCUGGGACAGCACCCAGGGACAGCGCCCAGGGCUCGCCGAGAGGAGCCUUGCUGCCGUGAAAGCUGCCUUGUUCGGGGCUCGGCCUCAUGUUCCACCUCGGGGCAAACUCCUCGGGAACAGGCAGAAAGAAUUAAAA